rnacentral:ncRNA from 1 species
UCGCCGGGACGACCCGGUGUACGACCUCUUCAUACCGGGGACGACCCCA